ACGCUCGACACCUACGGGGGCAGCAGUGGGGAAUAUUGCACAAUGGGGGAAACCCGUGAUGCAGCGACGCCGCGUGAGCGAAGAAGUAUUUCGGUAUGUAAAGCUCUAUCAGCAGGGAAGAAACUGACGGUACCUGACUAAGAAGCACCGGCUAAAUACGUACCAGCAGCCGCGGUAAUCUGAGCGGGCUGGCAAGGC
rnacentral:rRNA from 1 species